rnacentral:rRNA from 1 species
UGAGGAAUUUUCGGCAAUGGGGGCAACCCUGACCGAGCAACGCCGCGUGCAGGACGAAGGUUUUCGGAUCGUAAACUGCUUUUCUCGAGGACGAGCAAGGACGGUACUCGAGGAAGAAGCCCCGGCUAACUCCGUGCCAGCAGCCGCGGUAAUACGUAGGGGGCGAGCGUUGUCCGGAGUUACUGGGCGUAAAGCGCACGCAGGCGGUGCUGCAAGUUUGGGGUGACAGCUCUCGGCUCAACCGAGAGAGCGUCUCGAAGACUGCAGGACUUGAGGGCCAGAGAGGGACACAGAAUUCCGGGUGGAGUGGUGAAAUGCGUAGAUAUCCGGAGGGAUACCAAAGGCGAAGGCAGUGUCCUGGCUGGCACCUGACGCUCAGGUGCGAAAGCUAGGGGAGCGAAC